UUGAUUUAGAUUGACUGGUCAGUGUUUAGGUGGUAUUCACCUCCCUCUUCUUCUCUCACUUUGCGCAGGUAAACUUGUUGGUCCCUUGCAGCUAUCUAGUGUUCUGGGCAGUGUUACUGGGCUUCAGUCUGUACUCGGAGCCAGUGGUGUGUGGUAUGGGGCUGGUGAUCAUGCUCACUGGAGUACCCAUCUACUUCAUUGGAGUGCAGUGGAAAAACAAACCACACUGGAUUUCCAGUGCUGUGGAGAGAGUCACCUAUCUGGGGCAGAGGUUGUUUUAUGUGGUCUUCCCUCAGGAUGAUCCUUCUGAAAUACAGCCUCUUACAGAGAAAUCAGAGCUGUGAGCGUCAGCAGAGGACUCCUCGCACUGCUUUUUGGAAUAGCAAAGACCCGUUUUCCAUCCGUUAUUGAGUGUUUUCCCUGUCUGAUGCUGUAUGUGAGGAGAUGCUUCCCAGAAGCUCCUCUGAGACUCAGCCAUCAUAGCAGAAGAAACAGAAGUUUUGUUUUCUUGCUCAGACAUCACAUUUCUUAGUUGUAACUGUUCUCCCCUCACAUACAUUUGUCCGGACCUCACCUUGUAAUUGCACCCUCCUCCUGUCCUGUCGGAGAUGAAUUUCCAUGUCCUCUUCACGUUUUCCAUGGGAGUUGUUUGUUUUUUGAAAACUGUUGGUGUAUUCUCAUGUGCCUUACAGGAUCUCACUCUGUUUUUGAGGUUUUUAUCUUUACUUUAAGUAGACUUUUUAUUUAUCCCCUAUAAGUGAGCAAAAGGGGAAUUGUUGAAGACUGUUUACCUCUUAACCCAGUCUGAAAUCUAAACUCCAUCUGUGAGUCUGAACUUUCUCACCUAGAGGAUUAGGCCUUCUAGUCCUCCUAAUACUUACUUACUCAGGCAAAAACGUAAUAACGUCUAGCUAUCCUCUAAAUGUCUAUGCAAGAACAGUGUAGGCACUUUAAUGUAGUUGCAUAUUUUUAGCUCAUAUUGCACGAUAAACUUAUUGCUAUGCUUCCUGAAUCUGCUGCCACUGUUUAACAGAGGCUCUGCUCCAGCACUUAUUAACACUGCCAGCCUCUUAGCCUUAUGCUAAUGAUAGGAACCAUGGGAUGUUCCAAGUCCGUUCUUCUUGGAUAACGUUAUUUACAUAAAAGGUGCUUUACAUAAAAAAAAAAAAAAUAAAAAAAAUCCUAGGCAGACACUUUCAACUGUUGUCCAAAAGGAGAUUAAUGCCUUUACAUAACCAAGACAUUUGUUGCAUUUAUUUUGGGCAUUGAUCAUGGACUUUCCACUGAGCUAUGCAACAGCCAUGAUAUCCAUCUCUUCGUUUUAAACUGACCACCAAACCACAAAAGUCCGUCAAACAGAUUUUGAGAGUUUGGAUCUGAAAUAGUUGUGAAUGGCGGCUUUUGCUCUUUAACGUCACUUGAGCUCCCUCUUCUGGUUAGAUCUUUCUAGACACCCUAUCCUUCAUGAACACCCCAGUGCUCUUUCCAGGGGUCCAGCUCAGUGUCUCUCAGUGAUGUCCGUCAGACUAGCAGUGUUCAUGUUCUCACUGGCCACAGCGGCAAGGCAUGCUGAAAAGCACAGUACAGUGAAAUCUUAAUGUAAAUAUUGCUUAAAAGUUUAAAAAACAUCGGAUUCAUUGUGAGAUCGCAUUCCUGACAUUAGUGAAGUGUGAGGCGUAUGUAUUAAAAAUAUAUAUGUUCCAUAUUGUAUGCACUAUAUGCUGAUAUACAUUUGU